rnacentral:lncRNA from 1 species
UUUGACCUUCAUUUGUUUAUUUUAAUUCAAGUAUUAUUUUAAUUUUCAAAAAAUACAAAAAAUAUUGUAUUUGUUUCUUGACUUCUAAGUUUCAUUUUGCUUCUGUUUACUAUUGAUUGACCUUGAUCCCAUUCAUCUUUGGUCAAUGUACCUUGCUUAUUUCAUUUGAAUUUCAAUUCAUGUACAUUCUUAUUCAUCUUCUUCUUCAUCUUUUUU